AGUAACGCGUGAGGAACCUGCCUUUCAGAGGGGGACAACAGUUGGAAACGACUGCUAAUACCGCAUAAGCCCACGGCUCGGCAUCGAGCAGAGGGAAAAGGAGCAAUCCGCUUUGAGAUGGCCUCGCGUCCGAUUAGCUAGUUGGUGAGGUAAUGGCCCACCAAGGCGACGAUCGGUAGCCGGACUGAGAGGUUGAACGGCCACAUUGGGACUGAGACACGGCCCAG
rnacentral:rRNA from 1 species